CAGAGUAUCACAUGAAAAAGGGUUACCACAAAUUCUGGGGGAUUUUCAAGGUUUUUUUGAUUAGUUUAUUUUCCAGAGAAGGGACAGUUCCCCCUUGGGUUUAUUGCCGUGUCAUUGUAACCGAAGACCUGAUACACCGUGAUUUGUUAUAAUGAAUCUCACCAUUUAUUAUCUCUAUGCUGUAAGCUAUGGCCACAUAUAUAAUCCAGAUCACCAGCUGGUAAAUCUACUUUCAUUAAACGAGGGACAUAGAUGUCAGGUUUUCACAGUAGUAGAACUGAUCAUGUUUCUAACAUGUUA